GAAGGCUUCUAAGAGUUAGCUUAUAAAAGUAUACCACCCAGUAAUAUCAAAAAGUUCUCUGGAGCCAUAAGGGAAUUGUACAAAGCUUCCUAAGUUGCCAACUCUUGACAGAAAUUGAAUAUGGCAAAAGGGAAAAUUGUUGCUCCUGUCUCACAAGCCUAACUGCCAUGUUUCCACACAGCCCAAUGGUGUGGUUGCCAUCCUAGGGCUGUGUGGUUGCCAUGCUAGGGCUGUGUGGUUGCCAUCCUAGGGCUGUGUGGUUGCCAUGCUAGGGCUGUGUGGUUGCCAUCCUAGGGCUGUGUGGUUGCCAUCCUAGGGCUGUGUGGUUGCCAUCCUAGGGCUGUGCAUAGAAAAAUUCACUAAUUCAUCCAUGUAAGGAUAUUGCUUUAUCCUCUGCUCUUUGACUUCCCAAACCUUGGAGACAGAUGCAUCUGACAGCAUUUCCUCCAAAUCUUCACUUGUUGUGGGAUAUUUGUACACUGUGAUUGGUGCAAUAAAAAGCUGAACAGCCAAUAGCUAAGCAGGAGAGAUAGGCAGGACUUCCAAGCAGAGAGAGACUGCUGGGAAAAAGGCAGAGUCACUAACCAGAUACAGAGGAAGCAGGAUGGGCAGUACUGAGUUAAGCAACCAUUUCCAACGAAGCCACCUAGGAAGGAGAGGAACAGUUGGGACAUGUCCCAUCAGUACUUGGGACACUUUCCUGUGGGAGACCCUCCUAUUUAUAAAGCCAGACCAGGAAAAACCUGUCUCAAGCAAUGGUGGGGACAGCUAUUUGCAAGCCAGCUGUCAGCAGCAGCAGGAAACAUAACUCAAUGUGACCAGUUCUGCAGCUUGAGAAUUCCUUCCAGGAUCAUCACUCAGGUGUAGCCAGGAUCUUCACACACACACACACACACACACACACACACACACACAAUUUCAAGCUUCUUCUCUGACCAGAGAAGACCUUUGGAGACUGGAGAUCAGACACUUCGCCCUGGGAGGCUUCAACUGAAGACAGAGAUCCCUCUGCACCCCGUGAACACUCCACUCCACCCUUGAAGUCCUAGGUCAUCCCCAUUGCCCCAUAGCCUAAACGGCCUUUGCUUAGCUCUAUGUUGGAUUCAGCCAUUGUGCCCCUCCUUCUUUGGGACUUGCACUGAAUCUGUGUGGCUCCCAUGUUUAGUGUAUAAUAAGUUUGUAUGUUCUUCUUCCUUAAUUAAUUUAUCUCCGCACAAACUCAAAUUAUCAAAACCUCAAAGGGGGAAAAAUGGAAACAUUCCUACUUUGCACUGAGCCCUCCUAGAUAAUAACCCAAGAAAAUUUUUCUUAUCUUGAAGUCAAUGGGUUAGAAAACUGAAUUCCAUCUUUAAGCCUUAAAAUCUUGUUCUUUCACCUUACAAAUAGUCAGUCUCCCUUAAAGGUGCUGCCCUUGAUGGGGUGACCACACUAGAGUAGAUGGCAUGAGCACAAAUUGAACUCUGUGGGUUAUUAAAAAAAACGUGAAGUUAGGAGAGUGGGACAUGGACAUAGGAGGAGGUGGCGUAGAAGGCAGGGUGUGUCUGAUCACAAAUGCAUUGUAUGAAUGUAUGACUUUUCAAAGAAUUAAUAAAAACAACAUAUUCAACAACAACAAAUUCCUAAUCCCUGUCAUCAGAGAGGCAGAGUUGAAUCCAGAGGUUCACAACCACCCAUGCUCAGCAGCCUAUGAAUCAAAUUGUCUGUGUGGAUUUUACUAUAAAAUAGAUGGUUUUAUUACAUUUCACUGUCUGGUACCUAUUAAAUGUUCUGCAUAAGUGAGUAAGUUCAGUUUUUGUGUUGUCAAUUGCCCAUGCCUAUGUUUUUCAGCUAGCCUAGAAUUUACUAUGCAGACUUGGUUAGCCUCAAACUUGCAGAAAUCUGCCUGUGCUUCCCAAGUACAAAAGGGUGUGUUGGUUUUGCCUUUUAAAGGUUGGUUUUAACAGCCCUGGAAUCACCCAGCAGCCGACAACUACAUAUUAGUCACCAGGAGCUGGAACAAUUCUUCUAUGUAUACUCCAGCUAACAAUAAUUUUGUGGUUUAGAAAAAAAUGUUCCCUGAAGGGAAGGUUUAAAUUAAAAUAAACUGAGGAGAUAUUCUAUUUACCAAACCGCCAGCGGUGCCAGUUUGGGAUGUAAAUAUUCUUUAGAAAGUCUUAUGCUAGGCACUAGGCUCCUAGUAAACUGAUGACAAAUCAGUGGCCAAGACCCUCAUACAUUACAGGACUCAUAUCAGGAAAGUGGUUUUGCCUUGAUGCAUGCUUGUGCACCAUGUAUGUGCCCAGCCCCCAUGGAAGAGAGAAGACAUCUGAUAUCCUGGAACUGAACUUACAGAUGACUGUGAGCUGCCGUUCUCUAUUGCUGCUCCAUGCUUGGCCAACUUGUCAAUGCAUCUUCACGGAACCCUGAGGGCUGACAGUCAGUGAAAAUAUGUGUUGCCAUAUGAUGAAGCAGAAGACAUAAGCAGAAACCAAACUCAUGAUGCUGACGCCCAGUGCCUCCAAGUGCAGGACAUAAGGAGCUGUUUUCUGGUGGAUGGUGAUGUCUGUCUCUGAAUGGCAGGAUGUGGCCUCUGAGAGACGGUUUUUACUUCUGAAAGGAUCAUCCUCCCAAGGCUGCAUCAAGCCUCCAGCUCAAAAAGAAUUGCUGCUAGCCUCACUCAAACUUUCCACUCUAGAAAGCACCAGAAGGAUGUUUCCUAAACCUACCGACUGUAACCUCCUGCUAUAGCAACACAGGGAGCCAAAAAUACACAUCUCAUUUCAAUGCCUCAGAGUUUCCUGAAGUGUGCACCUCGAGGGGAAAUGAACUGCUUCUAGUACAUGACAUGAGUAUCUAACUCAGAACUUCGUUCUGCACAUGUGUGUCUGUAAUACCACCUCUUGACCAAGGAGGCAAGUCCACAUGUGGCUCUAUCAGAGACCCCAAGUAUCGGGGGAAAGAAAGAGAACUAAGACCACAGAGUCAUAGCAGGACAUUGUAAACAAUAACAGAUACAUGCAGAAUUAGAAGAAUGGUCUCUGAACAAAACCGGGGCAGCUCAAAGCUCCCACCACUGGUGUUUUGCUAGCUUCUAAGGGUACCCAGGCACUGUCAUAGCUUCCAUUUCAAAGGCACAUAAUAUUAUCACCAGAAAAAUAUUAAUGCAAACUUCUACUCUAUACAGGGGAAAUACAGGCAGCUUUACCUCAUCUUAAAGCAUAGACACUGGUUUUCUGAUGAACACGAAUGUAACCUAGUGUACAUAAGUUGAUGGUAUCCUUGGUUAGGCCAUUUCCCCUGCCUGGGUCUCUAAGCAGUGAGCCUGAUCUUGAUUACAGAGAACUGCUCUUUCCCUGUAGCCCAUUCUCUUUCCUUCGUGUGCUCAUGUUUGGCUCAUAUUUGUGCCUUAUUUCAGUUCAAAGUCCACUCAGAACUGAAUUUUGAGGAUUUCAAUUUCAAUUAGUUGCAUAUCCCCUCACUCAGCCUUAUAAAAAAGUAUUUGUAAGCCACUGGCAUGGCCAUUUACAUUUCACUAAAAAACUUACACAGGGUUGAGAACUGUGCUUAAAUUUUUUUUUUCAGCUGGGUGUCACAAUAACUGUGCCUGGAACCUGCACAUAGAAAAGGGUAGUGUAGUAUUUUUCAGUUGUAGAAUUGGCAAUUUAAAGUAGCUUGCUUUUUUUAUUUUAAGAUUUAUUUAUUAUGUAUACAGUGUUCUGUCUGCAUGUAUGCCUACAGGCCAGAAGAGGGCACUGAGUCUCAUUACGAAUGGUUGUGAGCCAUCGUAAUGGUGGCUGGGAAUUCAACUCAGGACCUUUGGAAACCAGCUGGUGUUCUUAACCAUUGAGCCAUCUCUCCAGCCCCAAAGGAGCUUGCUUUUAACCCCCAAAAGUUGCUUCCCGCCUUUCCCCACAAUGGCUCCCAAGAUAAAUCCAUUAGACCCUUGGAGUUCCAUGAAGCCUGGGAUCUUAAAUGUAGAGUUAUACAUUUCAGUGAAGCAUAGUACAAGAUGACUCAUUAGAUGGUGCCGGAUAAUAUAAGAACGCAAGAUGGCCACAACAUUUUCAUGGAGAAAUUGCAACUCAGUACAAUUUGCAAGAACUGUAUUGCCUCCUAAAGUCAUGGUUUACAAAUAAUUGCUUUUCUAAUAGCACUUUAUAGCAGAUACUCUCAAUGUUUUACAUAAUACUUUUGUAAUGAUACAAUGGCCCAUUAACUCUGACACUAGUAAAGGAAAUCUCAAACCUGU
rnacentral:lncRNA from 1 species